UUUAUAGUGGUUCGGAGCUUCCACUGCUCCUACAUCCACUCCCCAAAUCACCUUUGGGAAUUUUCACUAUAAUCCAAGAUUACAGUACGGUAGUUUUGCGAGUUCACUACCCAACUCGUUGUUUUACACCGGGCUCACAACAAACCCUAAAACCUCCAAUUUCACUUAGGCUUGGGACGCCUUUCCCUUCUUCCAAGUCCCUUGACUGGAACAAGCACCACAACGAAAGAGUUUACAAAAGAAAGGAAAAGCUCUAAAAAGCAAAUAUUGCAAUUAUGAACAAUAGAACCCGGAAAAAUCCUUUUGCCGUUGGAAGCGUGGGAGAUAUUGAUUCUUCCGAUGUGGAGCGCGUAGGAUUGAGUGUGAGCUUUUAAUCCCAAGCGCACGAGAGUGAUUGAGCUUGAAAUCACUUGGGAAGCUUGAAAACACUUGAUUUCUUCACUUGAAUGCACUCACUCCCUUGAACUUUUCUUUCUUACUUCUCUCUUGAAUGAUCUAGCUUUUGGUUGGUGAAGAGUUGUUGAGAAGCACUUAAGAGGUCCCUUUUAUAGCCCAAAAAAGCAAAUAUAGCUGUUAGAGACAAAGUAAAAAGGAUUUGAAAUUCAAACCAAACCUAAAAAGCUGUCAGUCGCGUCCCAGGCGCUCCGGGGACGUCUCCGCUUCAACGAGAGACGUCUCGGCUACAAGAUUUCACUUUUUACGUUGUCUGGGGUCGACUCGGCACUUUAAGGGGACGUCUCGGCUUGUUUGUACUUUUUGAAUAGGGACGACUCCGCUGCUUUGGGGACGACU
rnacentral:lncRNA from 1 species